rnacentral:rRNA from 1 species
UGGGGGAAAGUCGGCGGGCCUACACAUGCAAGUCGAGGGGUAACAGGAAAGCUUGCUUUCGCUGACGACCGGCGCACGGGUGCGUAACGCGUAUGCAACCUACCUCAUACUGGAGGAUAGCCCCUGGAAACGGGGAUUAAUACUCCAUAGUAUCACGAAUUCGCAUGUUUUUGUGAUUAAAGUUUUUCGGUAUGAGAUGGGCAUGCGUCCCAUUAGCUUGUUGGUGAGGUAACGGCUCACCAAGGCAACGAUGGGUAGGGGGCCUGAGAGGGUGGUCCCCCACACUGGUACUGAGACACGGACCAGACUCCUACGGGAGGCAGCAGUGAGGAAUAUUGGUCAAUGGAGGCAACUCUGAACCAGCCAUGCCGCGUGAAGGAUGACGGCCCUAUGGGUUGUAAACUUCUUUUAUAGAGGAAGAAACUUGUCUACGUGUAGACAACUGACGGUACUCUACGAAUAAGGAUCGGCUAACUCCGUGCCAGCAGCCGCGGUAAUACGGAGGAUCCAAGCGUUAUCCGGAUUCAUUGGGUUUAAAGGGUCCGUAGGCGGGUCUUUAAGUCAGUGGUGAAAGCCGACAGCUCAACUGUCGAACUGCCAUUGAUACUGGAGACCUUGAGUACAAAUGAAGUAGGCGGAAUGAGUCAUGUAGCGGUGAAAUGCAUAGAUAUGACUCAGAACACCGAUUGCGAAGGCAGCUUACUAACAUGUAACUGACGCUGAGGGACGAAAGCGUGGGGAGCGAACAGGAUUAGAUACCCUGGUAGUCCACGCCGUAAACGAUCAUCACUCGCUGUUGGCGAUAUACUGUCAGCGGCCAAGCGAAAGUAUUAAGUGAUGCACCUGGGGAGUACGCCGGCAACGGUGAAACUCAAAGGAAUUGACGGGGGCCCGCACAAGCGGUGGAGCAUGUGGUUUAAUUCGAUGAUACGCGAGGAACCUUACCAGGCUUAAAUGUAGUAUGACCGGCUUGAAACAGGCCUUCUCUUCGGAGCAGAUUACAAGUGCUGCAUGGUGUCGUCAGCUCGUGCCGUGAGUGUAGGUAGUCUGCACGAGCGCACCCCUAUUCUAGUGCCAGCGUCGGCGGGGACUCUAGAGACUGCCAGCGCAGCU